CUGCUCGCUUCGUAAGCACAUAUACUAAAAUUGGAACGAUACAGAGAUUAGCAGGCCCCUGCAUAAGGAUAACAGGAAAAUUCGUGCAGCUGUCCAUAUUUUU